rnacentral:lncRNA from 1 species
UUAACAGUACGUCAUUCCAGCAGAAUAAACGUGAUAAGAGAAGGUCAUAUAAUAAAAGGUCUUGGGGACGAAAGAACAAACGAGGCCAUCAUAACAACAAAUUUCAGAACUGUGACAAUUCAAGCCACCAGAAGUGGCAAGUGUCUGGGUCGGGUAAAAAUAAAGAAAAUGCAACACAGACAAAGAACAAACCAGAUGUUUAUUUUAG